AUUGAACGCUGGCGGCGUGCUUAACACAUGCAAGUCGAUCGGUAACAGGUGUAGCAAUACAUGCUGACGAGAGGCGGACGGGUGAGGAACGCUUGGGAAUCUGCCUAUCAGCGGGGGACAACCCGGGGAAACUCGGGCUAAUACCGCAUACGCUCUACGGAGGAAAGCCGGGGACCGCAAGGCCUGGCACUGAUAGAUGAGCCCAAGUCGGAUUAGCUAGUUGGCGGGGUAACGGCCCACCAAGGCGACGAUCCGUAGCUGGUCUGAGAGGACGAUCAGCCACACCGGAACUGAGACACGGUCCGGACUCCUACGGGAGGCAGCAGUGGGGAAUAUUGGACAAUGGGGGAAACCCUGAUCCAGCGACGCCGCGUGGGUGAAGAAGGCCUGCGGGUUGUAAAGCCCUUUCGGUAGGGAAGAAAUCUCUUGCUCUAACAAAGCAGGAGUUUGACUUAACCUACAUAAGAAGCACCGGCUAACUCUGUGCCAGCAGCCGCGGUAACAC
rnacentral:rRNA from 1 species